UACGAAGGGGGCUAGCGUUGUUCGGAUUUACUGGGCGUAAAGCGCGUGUAGGCGGGUCGUUAAGUUGGGGGUGAAAUCCCGGAGCUCAACUCCGGAACUGGCUUCAAAACUGGCGACCUGGACUCAAGCAGAGGCAAGUGGAAUUGCGAGUGUAGAGGUGAAAUUCGUAGAUAUUCGCAGGAACACCAGUGGCGAAGGCGACUUGCUGGGCUUGUAGUGACGCUGAGACGCCAAAGCGUGGGGAGCAUACAGG
rnacentral:rRNA from 1 species